UAUGGCCACAUCAUAUUGAAAUAUUAGUUCCCAUACAAUCACUGAAGUUAAGCAACACUGAGCCUGCUCAGUACUUAGAUGGGUGACCACUUGGGAAUACCAGAUGCUGUAAG